UAUUGGACAAUGGGCGCAAGCCUGAUCCAGCAAUACCGCGUGUGUGAAGAAGGCCUUAGGGUUGUAAAGCACUUUCAAUUGGGAGGAAAACCUGCCGGUCAAUACCCGGUAGCUUGACAUUACCUUUAGAAGAAGCACCGGCUAACUCCGUGCCAGCAGCCGCGGUAAUACGGAGGGUGCGAGCGUUAAUCGGAAUUACUGGGCGUAAAGCGUGCGUAGGCGGUUCGCUAAGUCAGAUGUGAAAGCCCUGGGCUCAACCUGGGAACUGCAUUUGAAACUGGCGGACUAGAGUUUAGUAGAGGGGAGUGGAAUUUCAGGUGUAGCGGUGAAAUGCGUAGAUAUCUGAAGGAACACCAGUGGCGAAGGCGACUCCCUGGACUAGAACUGACGCUGAGUACGAAA
rnacentral:rRNA from 1 species